ACGGCUAAAACCUUUCUCAUUCUUUCUCUCGCCGCUUUCACUCAUUCUCAACUUUCAGUCUUUCUCUCUCUUCUCUCUCUUAUUUUCAAUCUUUUGCCAUUAAAAUUUCUUGAAGCUUUAUCUCAAACAUUCUCAAGGUGAUACACCAAGUUCUCCGGAAAGUGCACCUCAAAGUCUAGCAGCUGCUAUGGUCUAUGGGGAGUCAAACCUAAUUUGACAGAUACCUUUAUUUGCCAUUGUUGGAACUUUGGAAGUAGUUUGGAACCUUGGAACUUUUUGACAUAUAUGCUUGUGGCUUUGAAGUUUGGAUUUGCAUUUCAUAUGUUUAUAUUGUUGAAUGUUACAGUUUAUUUUUUAAAAAAUAAUUACAUGUUAAUUUUAAAAAAUUACAGGUUUAAUGGUUUAUUGAAAAAGAUUACAUGUUAAGGAAAUUACCUGAUAAAAAAAAAAUUCAGGUUAAGGCAGGUUGAGUUCAGGUCAACCCGUUUAUAAACAAUUUGAGUACGGGUUUGAUUUUUUGACCUGUUUACCUAUUUAUGUAAACAGGUCGACCUGAACCCGACCCGACCUGUUUGCCAGCCCUAAUCACAUUAUAAUAUGUAUAUGUUAUUGGGUCAAUGAACUGAAUUUUUAUUGAUGAUGUUCGUUUG